rnacentral:rRNA from 1 species
GAUCAUGGCUCAGGAUGAACGCUAGCUACAGGCUUAACACAUGCAAGUCGAGGGGCAGCGGGAUUGAAGCUUGCUUCAAUUGCCGGCGACCGGCGCACGGGUGAGUAACGCGUAUCCAACCUUCCGUACACUCAGGGAUAGCCUUUCGAAGAAAGAUAAUACCUGAUGGUAUCUUAAGCACACAUGUAAUUAAAGAAUUAAAGAAUUUAUUCGGUGGUACGAUGGGGAGUGCGUUCC